AGGCAGGAGCGUUCAGUGUUCCCCUACCAGCUGACGUCCCGAAACUCCCCGGACCUUCCCAGGCUGGUGCUCACCGACCCAGACCGUCCCAGGCUGGUGACCGUGUGGGAUUGGCUCUCUGUAACAUGCUGUAGACCAACAUUCAGUGUAACUGCCUCCAGUUAAAGGGGAACCAGGGAUUUAGGGUGGGGGUGUAAAUGCACGGGCAUCACAGCGCCCAGUAUGAAGAAGACGACGCGGCCGGCGGCAAAUAAGGCGAGCUGCGAGCGGGGGAAGGCUGAGCCGGCGCCCGGCGGGGGCGCCAAUAAAGCAGGCGUGAAGACAGGCACGUCGGCGCCCCUUUCCAAGGUUAAAAGCAAUGAUGAUCUGUUAGCAGCCAUGACCGGAGGCAGCGCUGCACCCAGCAGCAAGGCCAAGCGGACCGCCUCCGCCGGGACCAGCGGCACCGACAGCAAGCCCAAGACCAGCUCAGGGGCCUCGGCCAAGCGUGCGGCGUCCUCCACGUCCAAGGAGCCGAGCUCGAUCAGGGACCGCCUGCGCCCCUCCAGGGCCUCGGCCAACAAGAAGCAGGCGGUGGUGCCGGGGGAUGCGGCCCAGGCCAAGCGCUCCCGCAGCCAGGCCCUGGUAGAGUCCGAGGGCCGCAUGUGCAAGUCCAAGUCGGACGGUCAGCUCAGCGACAAGGUGGCGCUGGAGAACAAGGUGAAGGACCUGCUGGGUCUGGCCAAGAGCAAAGACGUGGAGAUCGUGCAUCUGCGCGGUGAGCUGAGAGACAUGAGGGUACAGCUGGGCCUGGGGGGGCCGGAGGAGCAGGACGAGGAGGAGGACGAGGAGGAGGACGAGGUGGCUCCCCCGGAGGCGGCCGGAGAGGGGGAGAAGCCCCCGGUGUCGGCCAUCACGGCGGCGGACGUGGAGUCCACCCUCCUCCUGCUGCAGGAGCAGAACCAGGCCAUCCGGGUGGAGCUCAACCUGCUGAAGAGCGAGAACCGCAUGCUGAAAGACCGGCUGAACGCCCUGGGCUUCUCCCUGGAGCAGCGGCUGGAGGUCACCGAGAAGCUGUUCGGCUACCCCACGCAGAGCCCGGACCCCGCGGCCGGCAGCGGGCAGAGCGACGGCCCCCUGACCUCCUCGGUGGAGGGCUCGGCGCCGGGGUCCUUGGAGGACCUGCUGACGGGCCGGCGGCAUGGCGGCUCGGCCGACAACCUGGACAGCGAGUCCAGCGAGGUCUACCAGGCGGUCACGUCCAGCGACGACGCCCUGGACGCGCCCUCCGGCGCCUCGUCCUCCUCCGAGUCGGAGAGUGCCGCCGGCCGCGGGCGCUCCCGGCGGGGGGGCGGCGGCUCGGGCGGCGGUGGCGGCAGCGGCAGCUCCGCCAGCGAGGUGUCGGUGGCCCGCCUGACGGAGCGCAUCCACCAGAUGGAGGAGAACCAGCACAGCACGGCGGAGGAGCUGCAGGCCACGCUGCAGGAGCUGUCGGACCUGCAGCAGAUCACCCAGGAGCUCAACGGGGAGAACGAGCGCCUGGGCGAGGAGAAGCUCAUCCUGAUGGACUCCCUGUGCCAGCAGAGCGACAAGCUGGAGCAGUACGGCCGGCAGCUGGAGUACCUGCGCUCGCUGCUGGAGCAGCACCACCUGGCCUACACGCUGGAGGAGGACGUCAAGAGCGGCCGCUACAUGGAGCUGGAGCAGCGCUACGUGGACCUGGCCGACAACGCCCGCUUCGAGCGGGAGCAGCUGCUGGGCGUGCAGCAGCACCUCUCCAACACGCUGAAGAUGGCGGAGCAGGACAACGCCGAGGCCCAGGAGAUGAUCGGCGCCCUGAAGGAGCGGAACCACCAGAUGGAGCGCGUGAUGGAGUCGGAGCGGCAGGGCCGGGCGGCCCUGGGCGCGGCCCUGGAGGAGUACCAGGCGGCGGUGGGCAGCGACCAGGCCGAGCUGCAGCGCUGCCGGGCCCAGCUGGAGCAGGAGAGGCAGAAGGUGGCGGAGAUGUACUCGGUCCACACGGCGGGCGACAAGAACGACAUCCGCCUGCUGCUGGAGGCCGUGCGGCUGGACAAGGAGGAGGCGGAGGCCAAGGCCGCCAAGAUGCAGGCGGAGCUGGGACACGCCCACGAUGACCUCAGCAGGAUGCAGGACGCGCUCGGCAAGCUGGACCAGGAGUACCAGGGGUUCCAGCAGCAGGUGCAGCGGCAGAUGGAGGAGACGGAGCGGGUCGUCCAGCAGCAGCGGGCCGAGCUGACGGAGAAGGAGGCGGCCGUGGCCGACAUGAAGGAGACCAUCUUUGAGCUGGAGGACGAGGUGGAGCAGCACCGCGCCGUCAAGCUCCACGACAACCUCAUCGUCAGCGACCUGGAGAACUCUGUGAAGAAGCUUCAGGACCAGAAGCACGACAUGGAGAGGGAGAUAAAGAUCCUCCAUCGCAGAUUAAGGGAGGAGUCCAUGGAAUGGCGUCAGUUCCAGGCGGACCUGCAGACCGCCGUGGUCAUCGCUAACGACAUCAAGUCGGAGGCGCAGGAAGAGAUGGGGGACCUGCGGCGGCGGCUGCAGGAGUCCCAGGAGAAGAACGAGAAGCUGGGCAAGGAGCUGGACGAGGUCAAGAGCCGCAAGCAGGACGAGGAGCGGGGCCGGGUGUACAACUACAUGAACGCGGUGGAACGAGACCUGGCCGCGCUGCGUCAGGGCAUGGGUCUGAGCCGCCGCUCCUCCACCUCCUCGGAGCCCUCGCCCACCGUCAAGACCCUCAUCAAGAGCUUCGACAGCGCCUCGCAGAGCGGCCCGCCAUGCGAAUACCUAGAUCCAUGCGGCGGUGACGAGGGCCCCGCCCCCUCUGGUUCUGCUGCAGGUCCCGCCUCCAACGCCGCCGCCCUUCUUCCAACGGCGCCCGUCCCCCCCGCCCAGCUCCCACGCACCCCUCUGAGCCCCAGCCCCAUGAAGACCCCCCCCGCCGCCGCCGUCUCGCCCAUUCAGAGACACUCCAUCUCUGGGUCCAUGUCUUCGUCCAAGCCGCUCUCCUCGCUGAGUGACAAGAGGCCCAGCUACACGGACAUCAACAUGCCAGCCUGUGUUGUGUCCCCAGCGGACCACCUCCUCAGGGGAUCGUCCUCCGGCCGGACCACGGCCGUCCUCCAGAGGGUCUCCACCAUGGACCCCUCCAAGGCCAUCUCGGGUUCCCGUAGGAGCAGCGAGGAGAUGAAGCGGGACAAGUCGGCCCCAGACGGCGCGGCCCCCACCUCCCUGCUGGCUCUUGGCUCCGCCUCCUCCAUGUCGUCCUCCUCCUCCUCCCCCACCGCCUCCGUCACCCCCACCACGCGUGGGCGCCUCAGGGAGGAGAGGAAGGAUCCCCUGUCAGCUCUGGCCAGAGAGUACGGCGGCUCCAAACGAAAUGCUCUCCUGAAGUGGUGCCAGAAGAAGACUGAGGGCUACCAGAACAUCGACAUCACCAACUUCAGCAGCAGCUGGAACGACGGGCUGGCAUUCUGCGCCAUGCUGCACACCUACCUGCCCGCCCACAUCCCCUACCAGGAGCUCAGCAGCCCGGAGAAGAGGAGGAACUUCACUCUAGCCUUCCAGGCGGCUGAAAGUGUGGGAAUCAAAUGCACUCUGGACCUCAACGAAAUGGUGCGCUCGGAGAGGCCUGACUGGCAGAGCGUCAUGACCUACGUGACGGCUAUCUACAAGUACUUUGAGACCUGAGCUCCCCUCAGCACUGAGUCGUCCACCGAUCCUACAGCCCCCUGCACUACACCACCCUGUCCCCGCUGCCCGCCGGGCUGGGGGGGCUCCACUAGGAACAGCCCAGAGACCUGAGGGGGUCCCCAGGCCACACACACUCUGACGGCGCCGUGGUCGCUGGCCCUGCUCUGUGGGAACAUCCGCUACACGUCUACACCAUCGUCUCUGGGGAACCCAAGUAUUAUGAUUACUAUUAUUACUAUUGUUUAGUCGAGCCUUGCAGAACGUCUCUGCUUUCAGGACGUGUCCCUUAGGAGACAAACUAGACUAAAGUGUCUUCAACACGGCGACGUGUCCCCAGCACAGCCUUCCUCUUCACCUUCCUCCUCCUGCGCUAGAUGCCUCCACAGACCGAUCUUUAAAGAGGAAUACCUUUCCAUUGGAUCUUGGAGACAUUACUUGACACACUUCCAAGAGUUUGAAUACCUCUUGAAUGUUUUGGGGAAACUGCAGGAGGACUCGGGGAUGACCCAGAUGGAUAUCAAUAUCUACAGCCUUUUUUUUGCCUUCAGUCUUCCUGUGUGGUCACAGAGGCUCCAGUCCAGUUGAUCAAGUGCCUGAGUCAACACGUUGCAGGAUGCAAGGAGGGAGGCGCUCUACGGAGCCAGGCCUUCAUGAGACCUUCAGCUAGGAGCCAGGAUUCUGUGCCUUGCCAAAUAUGUACCAGGUUGUCUGAAUGAUUUGAGGAUGGCUUGAUGAUCAACAGCCGGGACUACUACAGGCCCAUCAUUUGAUGUUGUUUUUGGGGCAUUCUAAAGAGGUCAAUCAGUGAUAGGACGGACCUCUGAGCUCCACCUCAGAGCUAGAGUUCACUUCAGCCAUCGUUCUGCUCGGCACAUAGGGACAGGACCCCCCCCAGGACCAGACCCCCCCACACACAGGACCAGACCCCCCCCAGGACCAGACCCCCCCACAAACAGGACCAGACCCCCCCCAGG